rnacentral:rRNA from 1 species
CCGAAAGGCAGGAGUGCCUGCAAGGGAGCGCGGAGACAGGUGGUGCAUGGCUGUCGUCAGCUCGUGUCGUGAGAUGUUGGGUUAAGUCCCGCAACGAGCGCAACCCUCACCUCUUGUUGCCAUCAGGUCAUGCUGGGCACUCUAGAGGAACUGCCCCGGUCAACGGGGAGGAAGGCGGGGAUGACGUCAAGUCAUCAUGCCCCUUACGCCCUGGGCUACACACGUGCUACAAUGGCCGGUACAAAGGGAUGCCACACCGCGAGGUAGAGCUAAACCCAAAAAGCCGGUCUAAGUUCGGAUUGGAGUCUGCAACUCGACUCCAUGAAGGAGGAAUCGCUAGUAAUCGCGUAUCAGCACGACGCGGUGAAUACGUUCCCGGGCCUUGUACACACCGCCCGUCACACCACGAAAGCCAGCUGUACUCGAAGUCGCUGAG